rnacentral:lncRNA from 1 species
UAAUUCUCAUCAUAAUAUUCCUUCUCGACGAUGGCUGUCUGUAUUAUGUCAAACCACUUUUCAAGAGCACAAGGAACUUUUCUCCUCCUCCGUCUCCCUGCUCUCUGCCUAAUUUCGUCUGAUCAAAUAUCAAUACCGAAUAAGUUCAGGUACUUACUCUUCCUUCGCGCGAAUACAGUUGUUUUGAACUGAAUUAGGGCGUUUUUUUGUUCUUAGAAAAAUUCAUACAUAUAUGUAAGAUCAAAAUUUUGAGUUUUGAAGCUCUUUUGGGUUUUCAUUUUGCAGAUAAUUAACACUAUUAAGUAAAGGCUUUAUUAUUAAGCUUUAGUGGAAGUUGAUCUUCUACCCUCUAUUGAUUUGAUAGGUAUUUGAACUCGUGCAUCUUAUCCAGAACUACUUCAAGUUUAUGUUCUGCGUUUCAAGGUUUUAUUUUCCUUCAGAAUAAGACUGUUUUUCCUUUUCCUGGUAAAUUUGGAAUGAAUUUAUUGGGCAAUGUUUGUGGAGUUUAACUUACAUACACACUUAGGUCACCCAAAAGAUAUUACAUGUAAUCCUCCAAUAAAAUUAGG